rnacentral:misc_RNA from 1 species
CACAGGGUAUCUGUCUGUUUGCUCCCCACGUUUCGUCAUGAGCGUCAGUGUUAUCAGGAGGCUGCCUUCGCCAUCGGUCAUUCCUCCGCAUAUCUACAUUCUGCUACAUGGUCCGCCUCCCUCUGACACUACUCUAAUCAGUAGUUAAAAUACGGUUUCAAAGUCAAGCUCUGGGAUUUCCCGUCUUCUUUCCGAACCGCCUACGCACCGCUUCCUUAGUAAAUUCCGAUUAACGCUUGCACCCUACGGCAUUCACCGCAGCUGCUGGCACGUGGUUAAUACGGUGCUUAUUCUGCAGGUACCGUCGUUGCACAAAGAUACCAUAUCCGUGCCGUUUCUCCUGCCAGUCUUUACAACCCGAAGGCCAACCAUCGCACACACGCGGGAUGGCUGGAUCAGGGUUUCCCCAUUGUCAAAUUCCCCACUACUUUGCCUCCGUA